GGGCUUGUGGUUUAGUGGUAUAAUUUUCCCUUAGCAUAUCGGUCACUUCGCUAGUGCCGAACUGCGUCUGAAUUUGGGAAAGGUCCUGGGUUCGAUUCCCAGCAAGUCCA